AGAGUUUGAUCAUGGCUCAGGACGAACGCUGGCGGCGUGCCUAACACAUGCAAGUCGAGCGGAGGUACAAUGAGAGCAAUCGAGAUGUACUUUAGCGGCGGACGGGUGAGUAACGCGUGAGCAACCUGCCUAUCACAGGGGGAUAAGGCGGCGAAAGCCGCUCUAAUACCGCAUGAGACCCUCAAAGCGAUGCAAUGGGGGUGAAAGGAGCGAUCCGGUGAGAGAUGGGCUCGCGUCCGAUUAGGUAGUUGGUAGGGUAAGGGCCUACCAAGCCAAUGAUCGGUAGCCGGCCUGAGAGGGUGAACGGCCACAUUGGAACUGAGAGACGGUCCAAACUCCUACGGGAGGCAGCAGUGGGGAAUAUUGGGCAAUGGGCGGAAGCCUGACCCAGCAACGCCGCGUGAGGGAAGAAGGUUUUCGGAUUGUAAACCUCUGUUCUUGGGGAAGAGGAAGAGACGGUACCCAAGGGGGAAGCCCCGGCUAACUACGUGCCAGCAGCCGCGGUAAUACGUAGGGGGCGAGCGUUGUCCGGAAUGAUUGGGCGUAAAGGGCGCGCAGGCGGCCUGUCAAGUCAGUAGUGGAAGUCCAUUUUUCAAGGAUGGAAGUGCUAUAGAAACUGAUGGGCUUGAGUGCAGGAGAGGUUAUCGGAAUUCCCGGUGUAGCGGUGAAAUGCGUAGAGAUCGGGAGGAACACCAGUGGCGAAGGCGGGUAACUGGACUGCAACUGACGCUGAGGCGCGAAAGUGUGGGGAGCAAACAGGAUUAGAUACCCUGGUAGUCCACACUGUAAACGAUGAAUGCUAGGUGUAGG
rnacentral:rRNA from 1 species